GAUGAACGCUAGCGGCAGGCCUAAUACAUGCAAGUCGAGGGGCAGCACAGGUAGCAAUACUGGGUGGCGACCGGCAAACGGGUGCGGAACACGUACGCAACCUUCCUUCAAGUGGGGGAUAGCCCAUAGAAAUGUGGAUUAAUACCUCGUAAUAUCAUGAGCCGGCAUCGGUUUAUGAUUAUAGAAUUUCGCUUAAAGAU
rnacentral:rRNA from 1 species